rnacentral:rRNA from 1 species
CCUACGGGAGGCAGCAGUGGGGAAUUUUGGACAAUGGGCGCAAGCCUGAUCCAGCAAUGCCGCGUGAGUGAAGAAGGCCUUCGGGUUGUAAAGCUCUUUUGUCAGGGAAGAAACGGUGGGGGCUAAUAUCUCCUACUAAUGACGGUACCUGAAGAAUAAGCACCGGCUAACUACGUGCCAGCAGCCGCGGUAAUACGUAGGGUGCAAGCGUUAAUCGGAAUUACUGGGCGUAAAGCGUGCGCAGGCGGUUUUGUAAGUCUGUCGUGAAAGCCCCGGGCUCAACCUGGGAAUUGCGAUGGAGACUGCAAGGCUUGAAUCUGGCAGAGGGGGGUUAGAAUUCCACGUGUAGCAGUGAAAUGCGUAGAGAUGUGGAGGAACACCGAUGGCGAAGGCAGCCCCCUGGGUCAAGAUUGACGCUCAUGCACGAAAGCGUGGGGAGCAAACAGGAUUAGAUACCCUGGUAGUCCACGCCCUAAACGAUGUCUACUAGUUGUCGGGUUUUAAUUAACUUGGUAACGCAGCUAACGCGUGAAGUAGACCGCCUGGGGAGUACGGUCGCAAGAUUAAAACCGUCAAAGGAAUUGACGG